rfam:Myotis lucifugus cont2.12329, whole genome shotgun sequence.
CAUGCACCGGUGGGGUCCCUCGGCCUGGCCUGCGGGGAUCAGGCUGAAACUGGCUCGCCAACAUCCCCUGAGGGAUCCUGGAUUUUGAGAGGGCACAGGCCAGGCUGAGGGACCUCACCGGUGCACG